GACGAACGCUGGCGGCGUGCUUAACACAUGCAAGUCAAACGGAAAGGCCCUGCUCUUGUGGCGUGCUCGAGAGCCGAACGCGUGUGUAUCACGCGAGUAACCCGCCCCUAUAUGUGGGAUAACUUCAGGAAACUCGGGCGAAUACCGGGUAGGAUCUCUUGCUCCGUGUGGGGGGAUGGAAAGAUUCGGUGGUGGGGGAUCGACUCGCUGCUUACGGGCUUGUUUGUGGAGUAGUUAAUUACCAAGGUUUUGACGGCUAGGCGGCAUGAGAGGGUGACCGGCGACAUUAGGACUGAGAGACGGCGCAGAAGGGUACGGGAGGCAGCAGUGGGGAAUAUUGCACAAUGGGCGGAAGCCAGAUACAGCGACGCCGCGUGCGGGAUGCCGGCCUUCGAGUUGUGAACAGCUUUCGCAUGUGACGAAGCGUGAGUGACGGUAAUGGGUAAGGAAGCACCGGCUAACUACGUG
rnacentral:rRNA from 1 species